UACGAAGGGGGCUAGCGUUGUUCGGAUUUACUGGGCGUAAAGCGCACGUAGGCGGAUUGUUAAGUCAGAGGUGAAAUCCCGGAGCUCAACUCCGGAACUGCCUUUGAUACUGGCAAUCUAGAGUCCGGAAGAGGUGAGUGGAACUCCUAGUGUAGAGGUGGAAUUCGUAGAUAUUAGGAAGAACACCAGUGGCGAAGGCGGCUCACUGGUCCGGUACUGACGCUGAGGUGCGAAAGCGUGGGGAGCAAACAGG
rnacentral:rRNA from 1 species